ACCAAGUCAAGAAUCAAGAAUGCGUGCAUUCUGUGUUCGUCACUGACAAGAAAAAGAGGUGCCUUCUGGUUUCCUCUUCAUAUACAUUACACUCAAUAAUGCACUAAUUCAAUAUCCAGGGAAAUAACGAUCCAACAACUCCCAAUCCAACACGUAUCAGAUUUCAGAUAAAUGAAAACCCUUUUGUACAACAUGCAUAUUUUUCAGGUAA
rnacentral:misc_RNA from 1 species